rnacentral:rRNA from 1 species
UACGUAGGGGGCAAGCGUUAUCCGGAUUUACUGGGUGUAAAGGGAGCGUAGACGGCUGUGCAAGUCUGAAGUGAAAGGCAAGGGCUCAACCUUUGGACUGCUUUGGAAACUGUGCAGCUAGAGUGUUGGAGAGGCAAGUGGAAUUCCUAGUGUAGCGGUGAAAUGCGUAGAUAUUAGGAGGAACACCAGUGGCGAAGGCGGCUUGCUGGACGAUGACUGACGUUGAGGCUCGAAAGCGUGGGGAGCAAACAGG